rnacentral:rRNA from 1 species
GAGCGGAUGACGGGAGCUUGCUCCUUGAUUCAGCGGCGGACGGGUGAGUAAUACCUAGGAAUCUGCCUGAUAGUGGGGGACAACGUUUCGAAAGGAACGCUAAUACCGCAUACGUCCUACGGGAGAAAGCAGGGGACCUUCGGGCCUUGCGCUAUCAGAUGAGCCUAGGUCGGAUUAGCUAGUUGGUGAGGUAAUGGCUCACCAAGGCGACGAUCCGUAACUGGUCUGAGAGGAUGAUCAGUCACACUGGAACUGAGACACGGUCCAGACUCCUACGGGAGGCAGCAGUGGGGAAUAUUGGACAAUGGGCGAAAGCCUGAUCCAGCCAUGCCGCGUGUGUGAAGAAGGUCUUCGGAUUGUAAAGCACUUUAAGUUGGGAGGAAGGGCAGUAAGCUAAUACCUUGCUGUUUUGACGUUACCG